GUUGGAAUGCAUUCUUGCACCGUUAUCUUUGCCGACGAAAAACUUGGAAAUAUUAUUAUUAUUAUCGGUAAUGUAUACGUCCAUGGAGAUACGAGGAUAUGAGUUUGUGGAACAAUUUAUCAGCCAUUAACUGUCAAGACUUUUUAACGCCUAAAAUUCGUUAUUCAAAUGACUAUGAUGAUUCGUAAAAUCUUCGAGUUAUUUUACCCAGGAGUUUCUACAGAAUAGCGUGAAAACAAAUUUUGUUCGAUCGGACAAGUGCAAGCAAAUUGCAAAAAAACCUUGGGACGAACAAAUGUAUAUCUAUUUGGUCGCGCGGUUUAUAACGCGCAAUAUAAAUGUACGGACAUUCGGCAGACAUAAUGCAAAAAUUACAGGAUCCACCACCGCCUGAAUGCUAUACAGCUGAUCCAAAUACAGCCAAGAUGGUCGCUCCAAAUGAUGGAAAAAAUUAAUGGUCCAGUACAACUGAUUCGGUCCCCACGAGAUAAGAAGACUUGUGGUCAUAACCGUUAAGAUUCUUUAAAGGAUCCUUCCGAUGCCGAAUGGUUUUGUACAAUAUAAAUGGACACACUCCCACCACCGCAAUAACCGGUAUAUCGAAGACCAGGAAGAAAUUAGCAAAAAUCCAGAUGGCUUGCGCCGGGUUGGUGUCAUCCAGUCCACAAGGAUUCGACCCGGGAUAAUACGUCAACUGAUUGUACAAAAUAUUCGGCAGACAGAGAUACCGGUGACACUAUGGCCCACACACGGUUGACAGCGAUUAAGAGAUGCGCAUAGGAUGACAUUCCCGUGAUGACCCAGUUCCCGUAAAUGUUGACAAUACACGCCGGCAUAUUUAAAGCCCAAGCGCUGGAGAUGGCGUCGCUGGAUAUUUCUAUCGGGUUGACCACAACGCAGUAGGUGAGCAGAUUGAAGACUAAGAGAAAAAUGAUGUAGACUGCAAAUGGCGUCUGCAGCGGUUUUGAUAUCAAGAAAAUCAGUAAAACUGGCAGGUUGGUAAUUAACACGGCGAUACUCAACGAAAGGUCCGCCCACAUGGAAAUGCUACUGGCUUCCUCAACGCUGGAUAUAUUUUGCCGCGCGGUCUGGUUAUCCAUAAAGCUGGACGACAAUGAACCUAACGGAAAGCCAUAAGAAUUAAAUUUGAUCAAACUAAGAAAUUUGUGAUUGUUUGUGGAAAACAGCUGUCGAACGAUUACUGACUACUGAAAAUUGUUCGUUAUA